CCCCCCACUCCAACAACACUUCAGUUUGUUUCCUGCGAUUAAGAAUUCCUCAUAUCAGUGAGAUCAUAUGAUACAUGUCUUUCUCUGUUUGAAAAAGUCCAUCUUUUUUCCUAUACUAUACUAUACUAACUUUUUUGAUAAAAAUCUACUUUCUUCUUGAAGGUUCCUUGCUGGGGUCCAAAUGGGAGUAGUUGCUUUCAAAGUCUACUGCUCAUCUGUCAUCUGGGAUUUUUUUUUUUUUUUUUUUUUAGUCACACUCCUACGUAGGUGUCACUUUCUUGAAGCUUCACCUUUUCCCGUACUUCUUUUUUUGUUUAACUAAAUACAUUCUUAAUUUUUUUCUUUAGAAAGUGUGCAUGGGAUACAAAUACCUUGGGACUUACAUGUCUGAAAAUAGCCAUUAAUCUACAUUCUUACUUGAGUGCUAGUUUAGCUGAGCAUAGACUUCUAGACCAAAGGUCAUUUUUUCUCUGAGAACUUUUAAAAUUUUGCUCUAUUCUAGAAAAUUAUAUCUGAUGCCAUUUUGAUUUUUGCUCCAUUAAAGGUGAUAUAUCUUUAUUGAGGAAUAAUUGGCAUUCAAUAAAUUGCACAUAUUUAUGUGCAGUUUGGUAAGUUUUACAUUUGCAUAUACCCAUGAAACCAUCCUUUUCUCCUCUCCUCUACUCUAGAUCCCCUCUAAUGAUCUAUCUUUUGGUUAACUAAUCCUCUUCUAUGUCUAUUCAGUUUUUAAUUCCUAUUGAAAUUUUAAUUUCGGCAAUUUAUAUGUUCCCAUUUGAGAAUUUACAUUUGAUUCUCUCUUUUCAGUAUUAUUGAUUCUAGUUCUCUAGUGAAAGUCUCUUUUUGCCCUAUGUUUUCUAGAACAUAGUAAUCAUAAUUGAAGUCAUGCCUGGGAACUUCAAUAUCUGUAUCAUUUGUGAGUUUGUUCUGAAGUCUGUCAUACUCCUUGGUUUUUGUCCGUUGAUUCUAUCAGUUGGCGUGUCUGGUAAUCCUUUGAUUGAAUGCCAGAUCUUCUAUAUGAAAAUAGUAGAUAUAAUUUGAGGCUCUGGCUAAUGUUUUCUUCUUGCAGAGAAGAUUUACCUGCCAGUUGGCAGGCAGAGUAGGGACAGACGACUACACCAGUCUGGGAUGAGCUGACUUCAGUCUUUUGAGCACACUGUUCUACUUCCAUCUUAGCUAUAUACCUGUGGUGUUUCUCUUCCAGAGUCUUUACUGGAAGUCUGAGAUGUAUACCAGGACCCCUCCCCAUUAGUAUGCACUGAUCUCUAACUCUGUCACCCAUUCUGAGAGAUUGCCCUGAGACUUGAUUGGCUUCCCAGGUUCUCAGGGGCUGCCCUUUGCUUCUGAGCCAUUUGCUAUCAGCAGAUUCACUGAAAGGAAAAGUUGUACAGAACGUACCCCCCGUUUUUGGAAUUCUUGCCCCUCAAGUCCUAUCAGGAUCUCAGCUUCCAAAUUAAGAAACGAAAAAAGGAGCAAAUGAAAUCCAAAGUAAGCAGAAGAAAGAAAAGAAUAUAUAGGAGCCCAAAUUAAUGAAAUGGAAAACAGAAAAAACAAUAGAGAAAGUCAAUGAAACCAAAAACUGAUUCUUUCAGGAAAAAAAAAAAAGGUAAACCUCUAGCCAGCCUGAUUAAAAAAAGAGGAAGAAAAAGAAAACCCAAGUUCCCAUUACAUUAUCAGGAAUGAGAAGUAACAUAACUAUAGAGCCUAUUGAUAAGAAAAAUAAUAAAAGAACAACUUUAUGCCAAUCCGUUCAACAACUUAGAUCAAGUAGAUAAAUUCCUUGAAAAGAAAAAACCACCGGGGCGCCUGGGUGGCUCAGUUGGUUAAGCGACUGCCUUCAGCUCCGGUCAUGAUCUCAGGGUCCUGGGAUCGAGCCCCGCAUCGGGCUCCCUGCUCGGUGGGAAGCCUGCUUCUCUCUUUCCUACCCCCCCUGCUUGUGUUCCCUCUCUCGCUGUGCCUCUACCUCUCUCUGUCAAAUAAAUAAAUAAAAUCUUUAAAAAAAAAAAAAAAAAAGAAAAAACCACCAAAGCUCACUUAAGAAGAAAUAGGUAACCUGAAUUAUGCUAUAUCUGUUAGAGAUUGAAUUUCUAGUUUAAAACCUUCCUACAAAGAAAACCUCAGAUCUAGAUGGCGUUACUGGUAAAUUAACCAAACAGUUACUAAGAAAUAAUACUAAUUCUACACAAACAUUUCAGAAUACUGAAGAGGGGAAUACUUCCCAGUUCAUUCUAUGAAGACAACAUUACCCCUAUCCUGAAACCAUAAAACUGGGUGGGGGGGGGAGAUCAAUAUAUUGAAUAUUAACAAAAUAAAAUACUUAUUAUCUUGAGGUGUUUAUGUAGUGGGGUGCCUGGCUGGCUCAGUCAAUGGAACAUGCAACUCUUGAUCUCAGGGUGUGAAUUUGAGCCCUACAUGUGGCUUAGAGUUUACUUAAAAAAAAUUUUCAGGGUGCCUGGGUGGCUCAGUUGGUUAAGCAUCUGACUCUUGACUUCAGUUCAGGUCAUGAUCUCAGGGUUGUGAGAUCAAGCCCAGCAUCGGGCUCUUCACUAGACGUGGAGCCUGCUUGAGAUUCUCCCUCUCCCUCUUCCUCUGCCCCUCCCCCCUCUCUAAUAAAUAAAUAAAUAAAUAAAAUUUAAAAAUUUUAAUGUAGAAAUAAAAUUCAUGACAAUAAUAACACAAAAGGCAAGAAGAGAGUAAAAAUUAAAGCAUUCUAUAGUCCUUGCAUUAGUGAAAAUAUGUUUAUGUUAGAGUCUAGCAAAUCAAGAUGCAUGUUGUAUUGUAAUCGCUACGGUAACCAUGAAAAGAAUAGUAAAAUAAUGUACAAUUAACAAUCUACUCAAAAGGGAAAUAAAAUGAUUAAAAGCAUUUGACUGAUUUUUUUUUCAAGUGCAAGAAAGGAGAGUGAAAGCAGCAUAGAACAGAUGGGACAAACAAAGCACGUGGUGAGAUGUAGAUGUGAACAUCGAUAAUUUACUUUAAAUAUAAGUACUUGGAUUAAAAGGCAAAGAUUAUUCAGUCCGGAUGAAACCACAGAAACAAAACCAUGAAGCUUAAGCAGGAGAGCAUGCAGGAAGAAGCAGAGAAGAUGCAUUUGCAAGCGGAUUUCAGAACAACCUACCAGGAGUGUUUCUCAGAGUUGAGGGACACGUCUCCAAGUGUGAAACCGGAUCCUUUGUGCCCAGUAGCAAGAGGAAAAUGCAUAGGCUGAUGCCAGAACUUUCCCCGAGACCAGAUUUGGUUUGAGAAACAAAAAGAGAUGGACUAAAUGGGGAAUCACACACUUGAGUUCAGCAGUGUGUGCCGCUGAUAAAUGUGUAACACCUGGCUCUCCAAGUGUAAUUCCGGCAUGAAUGUUGACUUUAACAAAUCGGAUGAAAGUGAAACAAUGAAGAUAUGUUGGAACUUCACUCAUCUACCAAUGGUCUUUGUGACUUAUUUGUGGAAUUGGAUCAUAGUUUUUGAAUACUGGAAGAAAUAGGUGUUUUUUUUUUUUCUGUUCACAAUGCAAUGGCUACAGACGUGACGUAUUUUUAAGUUUCAUCGGCAUUAUUAACAUUUUCUCCAUCACUUCCCUAGAUCUAGACCAGGGUUCAGCAAACUACAACCCAAGAACCACAUUAAACUUAGUUCACAUAACUUUUUUAAAUUAUCCAUUCCAUUCUAAAUAUCACAAUGCUUUGAUAGGCACCAAAAUAUAUGAAUGAGCUCUUUUUAGUAGUCAAAUGUUUGUACAUCAUUUCUUUUUUCCUUAAACUUCUAUUUUCUUUUCACUUCUUUCACAUAAUUUUAUCCCAGUGCAAUAUCAUUAUGCUUAAACAUUUUUAUUGAUUAUCCUAUCAUGUUUCUUGCAACAAAAGUAAUAUACAAAUUAUAAUUUAAUUUGUUUUCAUUUCUAUGUCCAUAAGUCUCAUAAAUAUUGUUUUGUGUGGUUUAUUGCAGUUAUUGCAGUUAUCAGCAGUACAAAAAAUAAACAUUGUAAAUUUUGACAAAUAAUGAUUAAAAUGUAAAAGUUUACUAGAAAAUUAUCAUUUAAUGAUAUUGGAUGUUGCUAAUUGGAUUCUCAAUUAGUUCAUGUAACCACAGGUAAAUAUUUAAGUAUGACUUAUUUUCAGAAACAGGCUUAGCAUCAGUUCUUUUCCUUUUAGAUUUUAUGGAUGUAAGAGCUGAGAAUCCUUGUUCACACAAAUAAUUGAUAGAGGGAAAACGAGUUUUAUUUUUAAAAUGUCACUCAUGGCUUGGAAAUCCUUUCAAGUUAUAUGCCAAAAUCGUGUAGUCAUCAUCAGAAAUUGUUAUUAAUGAUCUAUCACUGGUAAUUUGAUUAGAUCCUUCCUCAAAUUUGUUAAAACCCAGGAAUUAGAAACCACCCAACUUGUAAAAAAUUUUGUUUCUAGUCUUCAAAGUCGUUCAAUUUUUCAAUUUUCAAUAGUUUUGACAAAGGAGCCUAAGACUUAUCAUUUACUAUUAUUUAUUCUUGUUAUUUUUAGAGAAAUCUCAUUUUUGUAGCUUAAGUUAAAGUGAGAUUUAAAAAACAACAACACAAAUAUAAAACUUGCAGAUUCUUUGGGAACAAAGAAUAAUCAUGCUGAAUUUCUGUUUGUAGGACAUCCUGAAAUAUCUUUAAAAAGCGAGACAGGUGAAAAGAGUUGGGUACUCAACAGUUGUUAUAUAGAGAUAAGUUAUUUAUUAGUGCUUGAAAAGGAGUAUGUUUAUAAUUACAUGUUUGGUAUUAUUAGAAAAGCACAUCAAAUCUGAGAGGAAGGAAUUAUCCCUAAUUAAAUAAAGUUGAUUUUGUAAAGUUCAGGAUAUUAUGUUCUAGUUUAUGUUUUGGGAACAUUUUAUCCUACACCUGUACAGAGAUAGAUGUCCUAUUUUUUUUAAUAGACUUUUUUUUUUUAGAGCAGUUUUAGGUCACAGCACAACUGAGUAGAAGGUACAGAGAUUUCCCAUGUAUUUCCUGCCAUCACUCAUGCACAGCCUCUGCCAUUAUCAACAUCCCUCACUAGAGCGGUGCAUUUGUUACAACUGAUGAACCUACUCUGACACAUUAUCAUCACCUAAAGUCCAUAGUUUACAGUAGGUAUUACUCCUGCUGUGGUACCUUCUGUGGGUUUGGACAAAUGUGUAAUGAUGUUUUCACCACUACAGUAUACAGAGUAGUUUCACUGCCCUAAAAGUCCUGUGCAUACCAAUUCAUCUCUCCCUCUCCUCUAAUCCCUGGAAACCACUGAUCUUUUUACUGUCUCCAUAGUUUUGCCUUUUCCAGAAUGUGAUGUAGUUGAAAUCAUAGAGUGCAAUCUUUUCAUAUUGGCUUUUUUUACUUAGUAAAAUGCGUUUAAGUUUCCCCCAUGUCUUUUCAUGGCUUGAUUGUUCAUUUCACUUUAGUGCUAAAUAAUAUUCCAUUGUCUGGAUGUUCCAGUUUAUCCAUUCAUACUGAAAGACAUUUCGCUUGCUUCCAAGUUUUGGCAAUUACAAAAAAAAAAAAAAAUCUGCUGUAAACAUUUAUGUGCAGGUUUUUGUGUGGACAUGUUUUCAACCCCUUUAGGUAAAUACUAAGCAGGAUUUCUAUAUUGCAUAGUAAGAGCAUGUUUAGUUUGGUAAGAAACUGUCAAACUGACUUCUAAAGUGCUAUACCAUUUUACAUUUCCAGCAGCAAUAAAUGAGAGUUCAUGUUGCUCCAUGUCCUGACCAGCGUUUUGUGUUGUUGGUGUUCUGUUUUGUAGUGGUAUCUCAUUGUUCUAAUCUGCAUUUCCCUGAUGGCAUAUAACAUGGAGCAUCUUUUCAUGUGCUUCUUUGCUGUCUGUAUAUCUUUUUUGGUGAGGUCUGCUAAGGUCUUUGAUCCAUUUUUUAAUCAGGUAGUUUGUUUUCUUAUUGUUGAGUUUUAAGUGUUCUCUUUAUUUUGGAUAAUAGUCCUUUAUCAGAUAUAUCUUUUGCAAAUAUUUUCGCUCCAGCUGUGACUUGUCUUUUCAUUCUCUGGAUAAAUGUUCUAUUUUUAAGAAUGAAAUUUAAACUACUCUGUGGAGAGUCUUAGCAAAAGGAAAGUAUUAGACCACCAGUAAGUGGGAGACCUACAAAAAGUUUAUUAAUAAUUGUUGCUAUGUAUAUUAUUUACAUUCAAAUCUAUAACAUAUCCCAGUUAUAACAAUAAUACAAAUAUGUAAAUAUAAAUAAUAAAAAAUAUAUAUAUAAAUAUAAAUCUAAUAACACAGGUAAAAAGAAUAAUUGAUCAGCAAGUGUUUGGCUAGUGACAGUGAGGAGGCAUACACCCAAAUAAAAAUAAAUAUUAGGGUUGGUGUGUGUGUGUGUGUGUGUGUGUGUGUGUGAAUAAGGGCAUGUUCUUUAGUUACCUAAGAGAAAACUAGGAAAACUACAGUAAAAUAAUCUGGUGGUAAGCAUUGAAUUCAUUGUAGAACUAAAAUUAAAACAAAUGUGGGUUUUUUGAUUACAGAAGAGAAUGUAAAUAUCUAAACCAAGAUAUUAUGAAAAGGGAAUGAAGUAACAAAGUUGAGAGGGGAAGGAAAAAGACAUGAAUUGUUAGUAUAAGCGUAACAAAACCCUUCAAAGUUGGGAGGUCAUAAGAUAUCAUUUAAUAAUAGAGGUAUAAAUAUCCUUUUUAAAUGAUAUUUUUAGAAUAAUUUUUUUAUGGAAUACAAAAUGCGGAAAUACAAAAAAUUAUAAGUGUGCCAACUGUUGAAUUUCACAAAGUAAGCAUAUAAAUAUACUCAUACUAAAAGGACCUAGAUCAAAAAAUAGAACAUUACCAGCACUCAGAGGCCUCUGCUUACCUUCUUACAGUCACUCAAGGGCAUCCAUUAUACUCAGUUCUAACUGAAUAUAUUAGUUUUGGCUGUUGUCGUGUGUCAUGUGUGUCAUGUAAUUGGAUUCAUAUACUAUAAUGUGUCUGAUUUCUUUUGCUCAGCAUUGUAUUUUUGAGAUUCAGUCAUGUUGCAUGUAAUAGGAGCCCAUUCAUUAUCAUACAUGUACUCAGUUAUAUGAGUAUAUUGCAAUGUAUCCACUUUACUACAAGGGGGCAUUUAUUUGAAAGGUUUUAGGAGGAGGCAACUAUAAAUAAUUUUGCUAUGAAUAUUCUUGUACUUGUCUUUUUGGUGAGUAUAUGCUUGCUUUUCUGUUGGGAAUAAUUAUUUAAGGGGAAAAAUAAAAUGUAUUAAUUUAAAUAAACAAAAAUAUUAUCCCUGUCAUAUAACAUAUAAACUUUGACUAUUGAUUUCAUCAAAAAUUAAAACAUAACUGAAAAGAAAAUGGGAGGGGCACAUGGGUGGCUCAGUCGGUUAAGUGUCUGCCUUCGGCUCAGGUCAUGAUCCUGGGGUUCCAGGAUCGAGCCCUGUGUCGGGCUCCCUGCUCAGGAGGAGUCUGCCUUUCCCUCUCCCUUGCCCCUCCCCCUGCUCAUGCUUUCUCUUUCUCUCUCUCUCUGAAAUAAAUAAAUAAAAUCUUAAAAAAAAAAAAGAAAAUGGGGGAGAGGACAUGGAUAGGCUUAAGAGAGCUAUUGCUUUAUCUAAUAAUAUAAGAAAUCAAUAGAUAAUGUCUAAUAUAGAGUAUUAUAAAAUAUUUUAUUAUAAUUUUAAUAGAAUAUUUAAUAUUUAUGAUAUAUAAACCAAAUUUUUCUAUUGAAAAAGAAGUUAUUUUAAAAUAAUGUAUAUAAGGAAACUGUUCACCAGUUUUCUUACUUAAAAAAUCAGCAUAUUAGGAUAUCAAUUAAAAAUAUGGAGAUAAAUGUCAAAAGAGGUUGCCCCAAAUAAUUGAAAUUUGUUAUCUCAGAUGGGUGGGGAAGACUUCUUUUUGUAAUAAGUCUUGUAAUAUCGUCUAACUUUUCUCUAAGCCCCCUGUAUUAUUUGAUUUAUUACCAUGUGCAUGUAUUAUUUUAGUAAAAUUAAGGGUUUUGUUGGUUUGGUUUGGUUUUGCACAAGGACAACCAGCAAUAACUUGACAUAAAAGUGAUUGUGAAUCAUAUAAAUGUAUCUGACCAAAACUGAACUAAAUGUACCCCCAAUUCAACUCCCUUUAGCUAGAUCCUAAAAAUGCCCCCCACCACUUGAAGACCAUCCAACACUUAGAUGAAUGAGUCAGAGACGAAAGUCUAAAUGAAAAGAGACCAGUUUUUAACUACAGUUCAGUAUCUUUUGCAAAUUUUACACAAAUAUGUGACCAUAUAAACAUAAUGUAAGGGACUCUCCCAGGGCCAGGAAGGAGAGGUGCAAGUGUGGGCCUGAUAAAUCUGCUCCUGGGAGCAAAGGGAAGAAGGUAGACUAAAAGACCCAGACUCAAGCCCAGAUCUGCCUUUUAGGAAUUAUGGGAUGCCAAGUACUUACUCAACUUCUUUAUGCCUCAGUUUCCCAAUCUGUUAAGUGGCAAUAAUAAACCCUUAUGUAUUGUGCUGAGAUGCUAAUAAGAUCAUGAUGAUAUCAUAUUAGUGAAAUACCAGCUAGCUUCAAAGUCAAAAGCAGUUGGCCCACAUCCCAUAGAGAAGCCUGGGAUCCUCAUAUCUGUGGUGCAGUAGGAAUUUAGAAACCUCUGGUUAUCGUGGGGUACGUCCUUAAGUAACUCUGAUCCAAAUUAUCUUAGAGAGGACAAUCUAAAAAUUCCAAAUUAAAGCAAUUUUCUUUCAUCUUUGACAAACAUAUUGAGCCAGUCAGAUUACUAGUAAAUUGUGUUCCAAAAUCAGGCCCAUCUAGGAAAUGAGGUUCUAGAUGUCUCCCAAAAAUCACAGUGAGAGGAGCAAGUUCUGACUAGGACCUUUUGAUCUUUCUCUUCCUCCUGUUUGUUAUCUCUAGGAGUAAGAAGGCAAGGCUGACUUAUCCAUAGCUGGCCUCUUAGAACAAGACGUUAAUUGGCAAUGCUGUAUAAAACUCAGAUGUAGGAGAAGGGGUAAAAAUCAAAGCUUCUACACCUUCCAUUUGGAAUUCCUGCAGCAGUUUUACCAGGAGGAUGAAAAAAAAGAAAUCAAAACAACAACAACAAACAAGAAUGCAUUUUCUUGAUCUAAAAGGGAGCUGAGUCACUGUUUCGUGUCCUACUUUCAGCCCAAGGUGGCCUGCACAUCUUCCCCAUCUAACAGGGGUUUCAGUGCUUUGCUGCGUCACCCUCAGCUGAGUGAUGGCUGAGCAUGCUGUCUGCUGCCGCUUCUGGCUCCCCACCGGCCUGCUCGCCCAGGAGCUCCAUUUGGCCAGAACUGAAAGAAGAGGACACCGGUCCCGUUCCCUCUGUUUGCCACCUGGGCGGCUGGAGGACUGGACCUUGGACCUGGUUCCUGUCCCCGCUCCCUUCUUGGGGACCUACUUCCAUUGACUUCUGACAUGGACCCUGCUGCUGUCUGGUAAGUCCCAGCCCCCCCAGCCUGCUAGGAGUCGUGGCGGGGAGGGGGGAGGGGCUGUAAGAAACUGUACCAGACAAUAGACUCUUACUUUCCUCCAGUGGCUUAUCAAAAAUGAUUGUAGCUGCUUCGGCAGGACUAGAAGUGACCCAUUGUCCCCUCUUCCAGCGAUCUCUGUAUCUUACACGAGCUCAGUGCUUACUGUUCUGGGAUUCACAACCCCCUGCUUGUGUGACAUUGUGUGAACUAGUGCUCUUUGGAACUUUGUGUUCAUUUACAUAACGCAUUCCUCAGGUGCAUAUACGUUAUGCAUGAGUCUGUGUUGUUAAUCACUUGAAAUUUAAUUGGAACGUGACAGUUUUUCCUUCCUCUUCAGUUUUCCCUCUCUCUCUCCCUCUCGAGCUCAUGCAACACUUGGAAGAAUUCCAGUCUCUUCCUGGCACUGUGGGCUUCCUGACUUUUUCCUUUAUGGGGAGGAUGCUCAGAAGCCCAGGUGGAAUGGGCCUCUUGCCCGAGAUGACUCCAUGGGCCA